rnacentral:rRNA from 1 species
AUUGAACGCUGGCGGCAGGCCUAACACAUGCAAGUCGAGCGGGGUUUUCGGACCUAGCGGCGGACGGGUGAGUAAUGCGUAGGAAGCUACCCGAUAGAGGGGGAUACCAGUUGGAAACGACUGUUAAUACCGCAUAAUGUCUACGGACCAAAGUGUGGGACCUUCGGGCCACAUGCUAUCGGAUGCGCCUACGUGGGAUAUAGCUAGUUGGUGAGGUAAUGGCUCACCAAGGCAACGAUCCCUAGCUGGUUUGAGAGGAUGAUCAGCCACACUGGAACUGAGACACGGUCCAGACUCCUACGGGAGGCAGCAGUGGGGAAUAUUGGACAAUGGGCGCAAGCCUGAUCCAGCCAUGCCGCGUGUGUGAAGAAGGCCUUCGGGUUGUAAAGCACUUUCAGUAGGGAGGAAGCGUUGUGUGUUAAUAGUACACAGCGUUGACGUUACCUACAGAAGAAGCACCGGCUAACUCUGUGCCAGCCGCCGCAGUAAUAC